rnacentral:lncRNA from 1 species
CUUCCAAACAGCUAUGAAAUCUUUUUCUUCUAAAAUCCUCAUCUGUUACCUAGAGGUGCACUAAAUUAUUCCUUCCAGCUAUGAUGUGCUUUGGUUCUGAUCCAAUUGAAAUAACAUUUAAAAGUGCUUUGUAGAUAUCCUUUAUGAUACUCAAGAUUAUACUUUACAGCAAAACAAGUCAUCUUUUAAGAUAAUACCAGGAGAUGUAUUCAUCGUAGGGGGCUGUGUUCUCAGCAUCACUUUUCCCAUACUCAUUUUGAACACCUGAAAUGAAGUUUAACUAUAAGUGGCUCUAAAUUUUGUCAAGCUGGGUGAAAAGAAAGGUCUUUGCUUUGUUUUGUGUUUAAAUCCAGUUAUUUCUGUUCAUACCAGUGCUUACUUUCUCGUUUGACCAAAAGGCAGAAACUUUCCCUUCUGCAGUCUGCACUUCGUCUGUUUGACCUCACAGAAAUGUCCUCAUCCUUUUACCUAGCAGGAACACCAGUGGCUGUGGCACACUUGCAGUCUCUGGGCCAACACUGAAGUCCUACUGGAAUCUGUGCUCCGGGGGCUGUGCCGGGUAGAGAGGGCAGUGGGAGGUAAGAGCUCUUCACCCUUCACCACCUUCUCCACCCAGCAUGGCCGGCACACUAUGGUCUACGGCACAUCUCCAAUUAUAGAGUGGGUUUUGAAUGCUGUUAUUUUUUACCUUGGGGAUUGGGCUACCCUGAUUUGGACUAUUUGGGGUACAUGUAAGUGAAAUUUUUAUCCAAGUAGGAACUGUUACAAGUAAAUGUCUUUUAUAUUGCUUUUAAGACUAAAUUUUUUUUGCUGCUUUUAUCAACAGAACAUAAAAGCACAUUUCCAAUUAUAUUGUAUUUCUCCACUAUUUUUUUUAUUGUGGUAAACCAUACAUAACAUAAACUUUACCAUCUUAAUAAUUUUUUAGUACAUAGUUCAGUGGUCUGAAGUAUAUUCACAUUGUGGCACAGCCGUCACCCACCAUCUAUCUCCAGAACUUUUUUUCACCUUUCCAAACUGAAACUCUACCCAUUAAACACUAACUCCCCAUUCCGCCUCCUCCCGGUCCUGAUAACCAUCACUCUACUUUGUCUUCAUAAAUUUGACUACUGUGAUAUGAUACCUCAUAUAAGUAGAAUCAUACAAUAUUUGUCCUUUUGUGUUAAUCAUACUGUACUUUUGUAAAAAAAAGAAUAAUUGUCACCAGAUUCACAAGUGUAACAUAAUUCACAUCUGGCAUACUGUCAUCAGUGUCUAAUGUACUGUAAGGGAACUGCAUUCAGAUCUCUGCCCUCUGAAGAUAUGAACAGAAAAUUAAUUACACCUUCAACAA